CAGAGACUCAGAACACGCGCACUUCACCGAAACACCAACUUCGCGGUUUCACCGAUUCUUGCGACCUGGCCGGUGCUCUGGGAUAAUUAAAAGCGAUAAUACUAAUUAAAAUACGCUUUUCCCCGUGCACUGGGCCGAACUCCACGGUACUGCAAUGCGGAGCCGACCCGCGGCAGGGUCGGAGCAAGCUCCGUGCACCCGCCAGGUCUCAAAAAUCAGUUUAAUAUUCUGAGUCUCCUAUGGAGACUGUAUCAGAUAUUAAGCUGAUAAGAACAGAUACUACACUUUGAUCUUAGCUCAGAGAGCCGAGAAGCGAUGCCUGUUUCUCUCCUUUCAUGAUUUAUAUAAUGUACUUUGUUGCUUUUUGAUUACGAGUUAGUGUUCAUCAUUAUGCGCUGCCCAGCGGUGAGUUGUGGUACUAUUUUCAUAUUCUAUAUUAUGCGUAACGUGAACUAUAUUACACUUACUAUAUAGAUUGGCAGAAUACAUCUGCAUGGAUUGUGUACAUCUGCGUAGCGUUGGUAUUGUUUGUAUGCAUCUAUAAUCCUUUAACGUUUGAUAAAUUAUAAGUAUGAAUUGUGUACUCUGAAUGUAAAUCUGGUAACAGUCUUUGUUGGAAUUCGACCUUUACUUCUAUCUAAUUGGCAUGUACUGUUACAUAUACAAUCUGUUUAUUUAAAUGAAGUCUUGUCGCAAGAAAAUUAUCAUUAUCUGAAUAUCAUUCAGAUGAAGAUGUUGUUACGGUAUGAAUAUAAGUAAGAAUUCUUUUAUCUAUACAGAAAGGGAGCUAAUUUUAUAAAAAAUCAGACUUCGGUCACCAUCAAUUCCUUUUGAAGGUGCCACAAACUGUGUACCUUCAAAUUCAAAGUCCGAAAUAUCUUCGACUAGUGAACAUGAAAAUACUCAAUGCAAGACUCCUUUGAUGAAUAUAAAUGAAAAUGCAAAAUACGAGACUAUUAUGAAUGUCGAUCUACAAAUUACAACGAAAUCAUUCUUUAAACUUGUUGUACUUGCCAAACAUCAACUAAUAGUUACAAUAAACGUGUACAAUUUAUAAUCGAUGACAAAAUGCAUAAUAAAACUAUAAUUCUAAAAGAA